rnacentral:rRNA from 1 species
GACGAACGCUGGCGGCGUGCUUAACACAUGCAAGUCGAACGGAAAGGCCCUGCUUUUGUGGGGUGCUCGAGUGGCGCACGGGUGUGUAACACGUGCGUAACCUGCCCUUGACUUUGGGAUAACUUCAGGAAACUGGGGCUAAUACCGGAUAGGAGCUCCUGCUGCGGGGUGGGGGUUGGAAAGUUUUGGCGGUUGGGGUUGGGCUCGCGGCUUAUCAGCUUGUUGGUGGGGUAGUGGCUUACCAAGGCUUUGACGGGUAGCCGGCCUGAGAGGGUGACCGGCCACAUUGGGACUGAGAUACGGCCCAGACUCCUACGGGAGGCAGCAGUGGGGAAUAUUGCACAAUGGGCGGAAGCCUGAUGCAGCAACGCCGCGUGCGGGAUGACGGCCUUCGGGUUGUAAACCGCUUUCGCCUGUGACGAAGCGUGAGUGACGGUAAUGGGUAAAGAAGCACCGGCUAACUACGUG